UAGGGAAUCUUCCGCAAUGGGCGAAAGCCUGACGGAGCAAUGCCGCGUGAGUGAUGAAGGUUUUCGGAUCGUAAAGCUCUGUUGCCAGGGAAGAACGCUUGGGAGAGUAACUGCUCUCAAGGUGACGGUACCUGAGAAGAAAGCCCCGGCUAACUACGUGCCAGCAGCCGCGGUAAUACGUAGGGGGCAAGCGUUGUCCGGAAUUAUUGGGCGUAAAGCGCGCGCAGGCGGUCAUGUAAGUCUGGUGUUUAAUCCCGGGGCUCAACCCCGGAUCGCACUGGAAACUGUGUGACUUGAGUGCAGAAGAGGAGAGUGGAAUUCCACGUGUAGCGGUGAAAUGCGUAGAGAUGUGGAGGAACACCAGUGGCGAAGGCGACUCUCUGGGCUGUAACUGACGCUG
rnacentral:rRNA from 1 species